rnacentral:rRNA from 1 species
AACGAACGCUGGCGGCGCGCCUAAUACAUGCAAGUCGAGCGAGAAGGUGUAGCAAUACACUUGUAAAGCGGCGAACGGGUGAGGAAUGCAUGGGUAACCUACCCUCGAGUGGGGAAUAACUAGCCGAAAGGUUAGCUAAUACCGCAUACGUUUCCGGAACUUCGGUUUCGGAAAGAAAGCAAUACCGUGGGUAUUGCGCUCAUGGAUGGGCUCAUGUCCUAUCAGCUUGUUGGUGAGGUAACGGCUCACCAAGGCUUCGACGGGUAGCUGGUCUGAGAGGACGAUCAGCCACACUGGCACUGCGACACGGGCCAGACUCCUACGGAGGCAGCAGUAAGGAAUAUUGCGCAAUGGACGAAAGUCUGACGCAGCGACGCCGCGUGGGGGAUGAAGGUCUUCGGAUUGUAAACCCCUUUCGGGAGGGAAGAUGGAGUGGGUAACCACUUGGACGGUACCUCCAGAAGCAGCCACGGCUAACUUCGUGCCAGCAGCCGCGGUAA